rnacentral:rRNA from 1 species
GGUUAAGCGACUAAGCGUACACGGUGGAUGCCCUGGCAGUCAGAGGCGAUGAAGGACGUGCUAAUCUGCGAUAAGCGUCGGUAAGGUGAUAUGAACCGUUAUAACCGGCGAUUUCCGAAUGGGGAAACCCAGUGUGUUUCGACACACUAUCAUUAACUGAAUCCAUAGGUUAAUGAGGCGAACCGGGGGAACUGAAACAUCUAAGUACCCCGAGGAAAAGAAAUCAACCGAGAUUCCCCCAGUAGCGGCGAGCGAACGGGGAGCAGCCCAGAGCCUGAAUCAGUGUGUGUGUUAGUGGAAGCGUCUGGAAAGGCGCGCGAUACAGGGUGACAGCCCCGUACACAAAAAUACACAUACUGUGAGCUCGAUGAGUAGGGCGGGACACGUGGUAUCCUGUCUGAAUAUGGGGGGACCAUCCUCCAAGGCUAAAUACUCCUGACUGACCGAUAGUGAACCAGUACCGUGAGGGAAAGGCGAAAAGAACCCCGGCGAGGGGAGUGAAAAAGAACCUGAAACCGUGUACGUACAAGCAGUGGGAGCACAGAGCAAUCUGUGUGACUGCGUACCUUUUGUAUAAUGGGUCAGCGACUUAUAUUCUGUAGCAAGGUUAACCGAAUAGGGGAGCCGAAGGGAAACCGAGUCUUAACUGGGCGUUAAGUUGCAGGGUAUAGACCCGAAACCCGGUGAUCUAGCCAUGGGCAGGUUGAAGGUUGGGUAACACUAACUGGAGGACCGAACCGACUAAUGUUGAAAAAUUAGCGGAUGACUUGUGGCUGGGGGUGAAAGGCCAAUCAAACCGGGAGAUAGCUGGUUCUCCCCGAAAGCUAUUUAGGUAGCGCCUCGUGAAUUCAUCUCCGGGGGUAGAGCACUGUUUCGGCAAGGGGGUCAUCCCGACUUACCAACCCGAUGCAAACU